UAGCAAAAAUAUUUCCCUCUAAAAAAAAGUAAGUUUCCCCCCAAACAAAACUUGAGACCCUCACGCCACUAACACUUAGCAAAAACACACUUCUCACAUCCCUGUCUCAAAAAACACCUCACGCCUUAGUAUUCUUCGAUUCGUGUCUCUCACAGCUCCGCCUCUUUCUCACCUCCGUCUCCGCGUCACCUGCAUCGCUGCCGUCUCAACGCCUCUUCUCUCCUUUGCCGUCAUCGCCUCUUCCCUCCAUCAACAUCCUACAGGUCAGUCUUCAACCCUAGGGUUUUGUCAAAUUUUGCGUUUCGGUUCAGCGUUGUGUCCUUGCUCACGGGUCUGAACAACCUUUACUGCACUGGGUGGAAUUUUGCAGGCCCUAGCUGGGCACCUUUUGCUUCAUAGAAAUCACUUUAUAAAUGCAUGACAAAAAUGUUUAUCUUACCAAUUAAUACUCUGCUUUAGUUUAUCUUAUGUAUACUCUUUGGACAACAUAUCAUAUGCAGAAACAUGAUAUUUGGAGAAACAUACCAUAUGCAGAAACAUGUGCUUUAUGAACUAGAUGCUGAUAUUGAGGUUAUGAUAUUUUGUGGUGCUAUCUGCAACACCACUUUUGCUUAUUGAAUCUUGAUGCUUUUUUUGCAGAUUUUGAUGAAUUUUAUUGGUAGUGUGAGUGUGUGACCCUGCAGUAAGUGCAGGUAAGAAUGGUUCAGAUAGCUCCUAAAUGGAGUUUGAAGCAAAAUCUGCUAGGGAUGGUGCAUGAUGCUACAAUUUCCUAUUAUUUGUUAACAUAGGAUGAGUGUUUUCUGUUCUGGACACUGUGAAUGAUUUUGUGGACCUUUGCAACUUCAUUAGAUGCCUCUUGUGAUUGAUAGAGUAUGCUGCAAUUAGUCAUUCAGUUGUACUGCAUUUAAUUCUUGCUCAUAUGUGUAGACAUUGGAUAUUCUGCCAUUCUGGUUUUUUGUAACAAUAUACACUGUUUAGACUUGGUUCGUGAAAUUGUUUUUUUGUAGUAUUAUGACUUGAAUGAUAUAUGAUUCGA